CCCAGGGGGCGUGAGCGGGCCGGUGCUCCGCAUGUGCAAGAAUUGCAAGAAGCAGUACGACCCGGCAGCAAAUCACCCAUCAUCCUGCCGCCACCACACAGCCCACUUUGGAGUGUGGGCAGCUUUAGGUGGUCUUUUUGCUCAUUUUGCUCGCCGGUCUGGGCAUGCUGGCGGAUUUGAUUGCCAACCACCCCUCCCCACCUCGCCCGAUUCUGGGUAGAAAAGAGGGCAUGGUGCUGUGGCCAAUCCGCUGAUGACGCCAACAAGGAACAAACCAUCUUCUUAUCAAGACUACCUCCGGAAGUCACAAGACAUUUCCGCAGCACCAAGCUCCAGUCGCAGAUCAUUGUUUGUCCAGGGGAAAAAUGAACUGGAGUCAGACUUCAGAAGGUUCUGGGAAGAAUUCCGCUCUUCCAGCUCUGAAAAGGUCAUCAGUUUAUACAGAGAAGACCCGGGGCAUAGAGAAAGAGAGACAGACAGUUGGAGAGUACCAUGGCUGUUCAAUUCUUCUCGCAGUUCAGGAGGGCGCCACUGAUGCCAUUGACAACAUCAUGUGCAAACUGAAUAUGGAGAGCAACGCAGCCUCCCGCCUUGACAGUGUUUGCCGACUACAACUUAAAUGAAUCAUCCUCCACUAAUGGGCUGGGGACGUCAAAUCCAAGUGUUCUAUCAUUACUUGUUUAAUUCUGUCUAUGGGUCAUUGCUCUGAGAGAUCACAGGUCAGGUCCUUUGUUUUCACUUAUUCUUGCCUUAUAUUCUUUCCGUGGGCUAAAAUUUGUGCAUAAUGAUUGGGCAAACCAACUGCCGGAACAUUGAGCUUAAACUUGUGCUUUCGGGACAAAGGGUUGCUGAAUUCGAUGCUAAACUUGUGCAUGAUGAUGGGAUGACGUAAAGGCAUUUUAUGAGGUGGACUGAACUACUUUGAGAUAUAUUGAUAACACUUCACACACAAAAUGAAAGGAAUGGCAGGCAGAUUUAAAUAAAACAAUGUUUGAUGCUGAAUUGACUAAUGAAGAGCUAUUGAAAAAACGUGAUGACAGAAUUUGUGAAGCUGAUUGCAAGGACCUUAUUAAAUAUUGGAGAUCUCGUCAAUUUGAAGUAAGUCAGGCUGCCUACUAAUGUUAUGUUAUAUUCCAGCCUAGUAAUUACCAUUGGCUCACACUGUUUAUGUACAUGAUGAUCUCAGACCAUUUUAGUACUUGUUUAAUCUAUGGCGUAUAAGGCUCCUGGUUGCAUUUAGUUUCAGUGUCAUUGCUUCAGCUAUGUACAAUAAAAAAGUGUGUUUCUAGUUUUCUGUUUGAUGCUCAGCUGAUCCUGUUUUCAACCGUGUCCAUCAUAACAACCACCAUUUGUUUUGUUUACAAAGCCAGUAUUAGACCAUAAGGCACCAUAUAGUAGAAUCAUGUCAGAAUUUACUGUUGUAAAUUGUCCCUCUUCCAAGGAUUACUCAUCGAUGUAUAUAAGCAUUUUUAGUUUUAGUACGUGAUGCUUGACUGCUUGUAUAUGUACAUAAGCCUAUUUCCUGAAAUAAUUAUUUUAUGGUGCAAAUAUAUGUCUGGUAAAAGGUGCUUAGAGUUAAACUGGUGGAUUGAGUAAGCUGCUACUUUUGAUUCUUGGUAAACUGGUGGUGCUAUUUAUGCUAUACAAUCAAUCUGGACAAUUUUUUGUAGUUGGUAAUGCAGGUUGUCUCUAUGCUUCAUUCGUCUUUGCAUAUCUUUUGCGGAGUAGCAGUAUAUGCAGAACCUAAUAUGAUCCUAGCUAAUUUGGAACCUAUUAUUCUUCUUCUUUUAUCUUAUUUUGCUUCAUUUUAAGAAUAUAUUUACUGUCAACAGUGAAACACACAUCAACCAAACAGCUUCUGUUAUUUUAAGAAUAUUUUAAAAAUAUAUUUACUGUCAACAGUGAAACACACAUCAACCAAACAGCUUCUGUUAUUUUAAGAAUAUAUUAUAGGCCGAGUGGGGUGUUUAAUAUCUAUGAAGAAAGCAUAUGCUUUUGAAACAAACAAACAAACA